rnacentral:lncRNA from 1 species
AUAGGAUUAUUGGGGCCCCUCCUCUAGUGCCAAACUAUUGCAUCAAGGCUCUGGAUCAAGUUGAUGUGGCAGUGGAGGUGCAUCGGCUAGGAUGUUGGGAUAUCACGAGAAACCUACAAAAGAAGUCCACUCACACUGGAGGUGGGGUGCCCUGACAGGGGACUCUCCGAUGCUUAAAUUAGUCAAAGCAUUGAGCAUAGU